rnacentral:rRNA from 1 species
UACGGGGGGGGGCAAGCGUUGUUCGGAAUUACUGGGCGUAAAGGGCUCGUAGGUGGCCAACUAAGUCAGACGUGAAAUCCCUCGGCUUAACCGGGGAACUGCGUCUGAUACUGGAUGGCUUGAGUUCGGGAGAGGGAUGCGGAAUUCCAGGUGUAGCGGUGAAAUGCGUAGAUAUCGGAGAUAACGGGAAGGACCAGUAGGCGGA